AGGGCAUGAUGUAGACACUUCCUAAUUAGCUCCUUGUAUCUUUCCCAUGCCUCAUAUAAAGAUUCAGUGUCUUGCUGCACAAAAGUAGUAAUCUCGUUUCUUAUUUU
rfam:Vigna angularis cultivar Jingnong 6 scaffold16_72, whole genome shotgun sequence.